rnacentral:rRNA from 1 species
CCUACGGGUGGCUGCAGUGGGGAAUAUUGCACAAUGGGCGCAAGCCUGAUGCAGCCAUGCCGCGUGUGUGAAGAAGGCCUUCGGGUUGUAAAGCACUUUCAGCGGGGAGGAAGGCGUUAAGGUUAAUAACCUUGGCGAUUGACGUUACCCGCAGAAGAAGCACCGGCUAACUCUGUGCCAGCAGCCGCGGUAAUACGGAGGGUGCAAGCGUUAAUCGGAAUUACUGGGCGUAAAGCGCACGCAGGCGGUCUGUCAAGUCGGAUGUGAAAUCCCCGGGCUCAACCUGGGAACUGCAUUCGAAACUGGCAGGCUAGAGUCUUGUAGAGGGGGGUAGAAUUCCAGGUGUAGCGGUGAAAUGCGUAGAGAUCUGGAGGAAUACCGGUGGCGAAGGCGGCCCCCUGGACAAAGACUGACGCUCAGGUGCGAAAGCGUGGGGAGCAAACAGGAUUAGAUACCCCUGUAGUC